rnacentral:rRNA from 1 species
CGGCGACCGGCGCACGGGUGAGUAACACGUAUGCGACCUGCCCGUAGCAGGGGGAUAAGCGGAAGAAAUUCCGUCUAAUACCGCGUAAUAUCUUUCGGGGGCAUUCCUGAGGGAUUAAAGGAAGCGAUUCCGGCUACGGAUGGGCAUGCGGCACAUUAGCUAGUCGGCGGGGUAACGGCCCACCGAGGCGACGAUGCGUAGGGGUUCUGAGAGGAAGGUCCCCCACACUGGUACUGAGACACGGACCAGACUCCUACGGGAGGCAGCAG